AUCGUCAGCUGCCUUUCGCAUGUCGGCAUGCAUCUUGCCCGACACCACGCUGGCCCGUGGGGUAGUCGCCGCACGCCGAGCACCGGCAGGCUGCGCAGCCGUCGACCAUGAUUUUGCCAAGGUUAGCCCCCGCACUGUCUCGUGAGCAUCAAUUCAUUUUACUUUAAUUGCUUAUAAGAUGAGAUGCGUGGUGUUUUUAUAUAUAUAUGCAAGGGUGGUAACCAGCGUUUUCUGAUUGGUCUGUGUCCGUGCUCUUGUCCUCAGAUGGAAUCCUGAAUUACUGAAAUAUUACGCGUACUUUGGAACUGAUAUGACAUUUCUUUUAUAAAUCCAGCCGUGCAGGCGGAUUGUAAGUGUUACAUUUGUUUCAAUAU
rnacentral:lncRNA from 1 species